GACGAACGCUGGCGGCGUGCCAACACAUGCAAGUUGAGCGACGAACCAGGGCUUGCCCUGGGGCAAAGCAGCGAACGGGUGAGUAACACGUGGGUAACCUACCCCGAUGACCGGGACAACCCGAGGAAACUCGGGCUAAUACCGGAUGUUUCCCCUGAACUCAAGUCCAGAGGGAAAAGGAAGCUUCGGCCUCCGCAGUUGGGGGGCCGGGGCCCGCCGACCUAG
rnacentral:rRNA from 1 species